GAUGAACGCUAGCGACAGGCCUAACACAUGCAAGUCGAGGGGCAGCACAAGGAGUAAUCUGAGGUGGCGACCGGCGCACGGGUGAGUAACACGUAUGCAACCUGCCUGUAAGAGGGGAAUAACCCGUUGAAAGACGGACUAAUACCGCAUAAUACUAAAUUACUGCAUGGUAAUUUAUUUAAACAUUUAUGGCUUACAGAUGGGCAUGCGCAUGAUUAGCUAGUUGGAGAGGUAACGGCUCCCCAAGGCAACGAUCAUUAGCUGGUCUGAGAGGAUGAUCAGCCACACUGGAACUGAGACACGGUCCAGACUCCUACGGGAGGCAGCAGUGAGGAAUAUUGCGCAAUGGGGGCAACCCUGACGCAGCAACGCCGCGUGAGUGAGGAAGGUUUUCGGACUGUAAAGCUCUGUCGAGCGGGAAGAAGUGUACCAUGGCUAAUAUCCAUGAUAUUUGACGGUACCGCUAGAGG
rnacentral:rRNA from 1 species